GGGAUUCUUCUGAGAUAGACACAAACGUAUAUCUGCAGCGCUUUUACUCAUGCUGCCCCAAUGGUGCUGUGUUCAACUUACUGUGUACCGAUACAGACGACGACAAAAUUUUGAGAAGAAUUGAGAGAGCUUUGAACGGCCAGGGCGUUACUAGGUUGCCCUUUUGGAGAAAUACUGAAGAUUAUGAAGUUGCUUUGCGUGAAGCUGGUUUGAAUUAAUUAUUGUUUUUCACAUUAGUACAUUGCUUUAUCCCCUUUUUUUGAUUGUCAUAUUGGGUACU